rfam:Triticum aestivum genome assembly, contig: Triticum_aestivum_CS42_TGACv1_scaffold_194515_3AL
CAUAGGCAGUGGCUUGGUUAAGGGAACGGAACCCACCGGAGCCGUAGUGAAAGCGAGUCUUAAUAGGGCGAUUGUCACUGCUUAUGGACCCAAACCUGGGUGAUCUAUCCAUGACCAGGAUGAAGCUUGGAUGAAACUAAGCAGAGGUCCGAACCGACUGAUGUUGAAGAAUCGGCGAAUGAGUUGUGGUUAGGGGUGAAAUGCCAAUCAAACCCAGAGCUAGUUGG